AGCCCAAGUCAGCAAAUCAAGGAUCAAAUAUGAUAGCUGCAGCCAUAGUCAGAUGCUGUUGCCAAGGAAGUUCACAGUGACAAGGUACAUCCAAAGUCAAGCCAGGAAAGCAUCCACAGGUCAGAAUAGAGCUCAUGACACAGCUGUGACAGUACUGGAGAUGGAUUCACCUGCCACAUAACCAGUGCCUGAAGGUGUUGGGUUUGAGCUUCAGUAAGGGUCCACAAGCAGAAGGCUUGCAGGGAGGCCUCAGGUGAGGCUGAUCAAGGCAAUUAAGGCCUGUUAGUGCAUGCAGAAAAUAAAUGGUGCUGGAGAUGUUGCUGUUCCUGAGGUAGCAGGGGGGCUUGGGACAAGCUUAGGCUGGUUCUGCAGCUGGAUACCAGGCUGACCAGCCAGCAAGUGCCACAUUGAUUAAUGAACACAGAAGUGCUAUACUAGCAGCAAAAGAAAAGCUUUUAACACUUACAGGAAUGCUUAGGCAGCUGUUUGUUUAAUUCUAAUGCUUUCCAUCGCUCUCAAACUGAAGCCUGAAUUACAGCAUACAUCUAUUUGACUGUGAGACUGAACUUCUGGGGACCAGCAGGAACAGGAAGACCAGAAGCCCAGGAUGACAACGUUGAGGCAGAUCACAAGCCCACCAUACCAAAGGAAGAAGAGCAGACCAGAGUCAAGAAAGCUUGAAGUGAUGGAAAUGAGCAACACAGGACCUGUGAUCUGCAUUCUCCGUAAGGUGUCCAAGGAACCAGGCUGUGCGUCCUCAUUCCACAGAUUGAAGGGGUUGCAUGGAUAUCCAUCAGCUGAAAGUACAGGGCUCACCUGAUCUCCCGUGAAAGCUUCUUGACAGGGAUGGGGACAAGAGGAACACUACUUUAGUCUCCUGUUUCUAGAAUGCUGAAUGCUGGGAAACAGCAGACAGACUGAUGAACGCAUUUGCAGGCUGAGUGUGCUACAGUAUGUGGACAUUGGAGGACUCUCUGACAGUAGGACUGUACUCCAAAGCAGAAUUUUUACUGCAUGUAUUUCAUCUGUAUGUAAUCAAGAUAUUUUAUUGUCUGAGUCUAUUUCUCCACUUAAACGUUGCUGUUCAGGAACUUUCAUGUUAGGGUGCUGCAACUUAAGCAUCUCUGGUUUUGUUGUCAGGUAGAGGUAUUUCUCUCCAUCGCCCUGAAGUAAAAAUUGCCCAGAGUUCAGUUGGAAGACAUUUGCCAUUUAGUUUCAUUAGGGUGAUUUGGCUCGUUGAGAAGUGGUUGCCUUUAGUUUUCUGC